UACGUAGGGUGCAAGCGUUAAUCGGAAUUACUGGGCGUAAAGCGUGCGCAGGCGGUUUGUUAAGUCUGUUGUGAAAUCCCCGAGCUCAACUUGGGAAUUGCAAUGGAUACUGGCAGGCUGGAGUAUGGUAGAGGAGGGUGGAAUUCCCGGUGUAGCAGUGAAAUGCGUAGAGAUCGGGAGGAACACCAGUGGCGAAGGCGGCCUUCUGGACCAAUACUGACGCUCAUGCACGAAAGCGUGGGGAGCAAACAGG
rnacentral:rRNA from 1 species